rnacentral:rRNA from 1 species
CUAAAAGCCCUUAGAGUUUGAUCCUGGCUCAGGAUGAACGCUAGCUACAGGCUUAACACAUGCAAGUCGAGGGGCAGCGGUAUCGAAAGCUUGCUUUCGGUAGCCGGCGACCGGCGCACGGGUGAGUAACGCGUAUCGAACCUGCCUCAUACUCGGGAAUAGCCUUGCGAAAGUAAGAUUAAUGCCCGGUGUUUUCAGAGUCCCGCAUGAGGCUUUGAACAAAGAUUUAUCGGUAUGAGAUGGCGAUGCGUCCCAUUAGCUUGUUGGCGGGGUAACGGCCCACCAAGGCAUCGAUGGGUAGGGGUUCUGAGAGGAAGGUCCCCCACAUUGGAACUGAGACACGGUCCAAACUCCUACGGGAGGCAGCAGUGAGGAAUAUUGGUCAAUGGGCGGAAGCCUGAACCAGCCAAGUAGCGUGCAGGAAGACGGCCCUCCGGGUUGUAAACUGCUUUUAGUUGGGAAUAAAACGGGGCUCGUGAGCCCCCUUGCAUGUACCAUCAGAAAAAGGACCGGCUAAUUCCGUGCCAGCAGCCGCGGUAAUACGGAAGGUUCGGGCGUUAUCCGGAUUUAUUGGGUUUAAAGGGAGCGCAGGCGGACCUUUAAGUCAGCUGUGAAAUACGGCGGCUCAACCGUCGAACUGCAGUUGAUACUGGAGGUCUUGAGUGCACACAGGGAUGCUGGAAUUCAUGGUGUAGCGGUGAAAUGCUCAGAUAUCAUGAAGAACUCCGAUCGCGAAGGCAGGCAUCCGGGGUGCAACUGACGCUGAGGCUCGAAAGUGCGGGUAUCAAACAGGAUUAGAUACCCUGGUAGUCCGCACAGUAAACGAUGAAUACUCGCGGUUUGCGAUACAGUGUAAGCCGCCAAGCGAAAGCGUUAAGUAUUCCACCUGGGGAGUACGCCGGCAACGGUGAAACUCAAAUGAAUUGACGG